UAGACAACUAAUUUUGUACAGAUAGGUCUCUGGAAAUAGGAAAAGCGAGUAAAUGUUUUAUCAAAAUACGAGUGGUCAAUCCCAUGUUCGGUUUAUGCAAGCUCCGUAUGACAAUGGUGUCGUUGAGUCUCACGGUGAGACUCUUCAACUCCGGUAUGUACAUGUAAACAAAGAUAAGAAAAGAAAUAAAAAUUAGCAAGCAUGUAAUGGCGAAGUAUCAAAAUGAACA
rnacentral:lncRNA from 1 species